rnacentral:lncRNA from 1 species
GCUGAACUAAAACUCACAUCCAAGUACCAACCAUUUCAAGCAUUCAAAUUAAGCAAACUCUAUCAUUCAACAUGGCAUAUCUUUACAUGCAUACAUGUUUAUAAUCUUACCUUGGUAUAUUCCAUAUGUUAGGCAUAAUUUAAACAACCAUUUAACAUAUAUGUAGACACCAUAGUAUGACAUUACAAGUAUAUCAAAAACAACCAUUACUAGCCAUUCCAAUGGCUAGAUUACAAACCACAUAUUUAAGCCAUAUAUGGCCAAAUUAGCUUAUACAUGGCAUUAGACCAAAAUGAUUUUACUAUAUAUACCUAAAAUAAGCUAGAGAAUAGUGUGAUGAUGCUCCAAUGAUCUCCAACCUCCGCGAGCUUUCGAGCACUAUAAAAUAGGGGAAAAUAAAACAAAGUAAGCAUUACAUGCUUAGUAAGUUCAUAUAACAAAAACUAAACUUACCAAUCUCACACUACAGGAAAAUAGGGCUUUAGCGGCGUUUUAUCAAAAAAUGCCGCAAAAAUUGUAAAACACAUAGCAAUAGCAGCGUUUUACCAAAAAUGCCACAAAAACCAGAGCAAUAGCGGCGUUUUAGUAAAAAACGCCGCGAAAAACAGAGCAUUAGCGGCGCUUUUGGCAAAAUGCCGCUAAAAACGAGAGCAUUAGUGGUGCUUUUGGCAAAAUGCCGCUAAAAACCAGAGCAUUAGCGGCGCUUUUGGAAAAAACGCCACUAAAAGUCGUAUAACCCCUAAACCCAAAAAAAUCAUAAACACUAAUCUAUAACCCCUAAAACAAUCAUUAUUAAAAUUUAUGGUUAUACAAUAUAUUAAAUAUUUUCUUAUAUAAUCGUAAAAGAGAUAGUAUUGAAUUUAAAAUAUCAAAUUAAUUAUCAUUAUAGUUUAUGGUUUAUGGUUUAAGAUAUAUGGUUUAGGGUUUAAGGUUUAUGAGUUAAUUAUGGUUUAAGAUAUAUAGUUUAGGGUUUAAGGUUUAGGAGUUAACUAGUAUUUGAAGGUUUAUGAUGAAUUAUGGGUUUAGGGAUUAUGAUUAAUUAGGGUUUAAUGGUUAGGGUAGAGUUUAAGGUGUAAGGGUUUGGGGUUAAGGGUUAAGGGUUUAGAGUUUAGUGUUUAUGAGAUAGGGGUUAAGAGGUUUAGGGUUUAGAUUAAUUAGUAUUUUUUAAUUUAUAUAUUAAAUGAUUUCUUAUAUAAUUGUAAAAGAGAUACAUUACACCAAAACAGGUUUUAAGGGGAUAGAGGUUAGGCGUUAAGGGGAUAAGGGUUAGGCGUUAAGGGGAUUGGGGUUAGGGGUUUAUGGUUUAUGAGUUAAUAUUUUAAAGCUUAUGGAUUAUGGUUUAGGGAUUAUGUGUUAGGGUUUAAGGCUUAGGGGUUAUGUGUUAAAGGUUUAGGUUUUAAGGGUUAAGAGAUAUGGGUUACGGGUUUAGGGUUUAGGAUUUAGGAUUUAAAAUUUAAGGGUAAAGGUUAGAGGUUUAGGGUUUAGAUUAAUUAGUAUUAUUUAAUUUAUAUAUUAAACGAUUUCUUAUAUAAUUGUAAAAGAAAUAAUAUUAAUCUUAAUAUAUUAAAAUUAUAAUUAUAGUUUAAAUUAUUUAAGAGAUAAUAGAUAAACUUUAUAUAUAUUAUUAAAUAUUGGCUAUCAUUAAUUAAUUAUUAUGGCUUCCAAAUUAUAACAAAUAAAAAUAAAAAUGAAAAUUAAGAGAUUAGUGGCGUUUUUAAAAAAACGCCAAAAAAAACACUAUUAUAAGAAAUAAAAAUAAAUAUGAAAAUUAAAAGAUUAGUGGCGUUUUUUAAAAAAAACGUCACAAAAAACACUAUUAUAACAAAUAAAAAUAAAUAUGUAAAUUAAGAGAUUAGUGGUAUUUUUUUAAAAAACGCCACAAAAAAACACUAUGAAAAUGACGUCGUCUUUUUUUCUUAAAUUUCAUCUUCUUGUGUCAUGCCCGACACUUAGCCAUUUCCCCAAAAAUCCUAAAACAGAUAUCCCAAACGUUUAGCUAUUUCCAGCAAAACCCCAAAAUAGAUUUCCCCAAUUCUCUACAUUUCCCCUAAUCCCUAAAUUUCCCCCAAAAUCCCUAAGUUUUUUUAAUAGUUCUUCGUUUAAGUAAAGCCCUUAUAUUUAAAAAAAAUUCAAUUUUUUUCAGGUAUUAGGGAAAGCGAUUCGGCCAGGUUUUUCAGCAUCUAGAGUUUCUGUCAAUGUUGGAGAAGAGGUAAAUAUUCGAGUAAUUCAUGCUUAUAGUUGAAUGAGAGAAAUGAGUGAUGUCAAAGUUGAGAAACCAGACGAUGAACAGCCGCAAGAAAGCAGCAAAUUCCUAAUGCAACCUGCAACAGUGUACCACAGUAGCAGGAAAUAGGGAUUCAUAAUGUCGUGAAAGAAACUGGAUCUUCUUCUUGUCGUCUAAAUGAUCAGAAUAAGAUUAUCAGAAAUGGAGGGUGUUUAAUUAAUCCAUUAGGGUUCCCAUAUAGGUCUCGAAUGCAGGUUUUGGCUGCAGAUGCACCAUCAGGAAGUGGAGAGUUGCUCAUAAUGAAUGAUUUACCUGUUUACAAGAGAGGGAGGAACAAAAUACAAGAAGCCAUUGAAGAGGCUGAGCAAAAGAAGAGGAAGAAUAAGAUUAAAAACAGAAUUUCAGCUGCAAAAUCUCGAGCCAGGUCUCAGGUGCGUAUGUGUGCGCAGUAGUAGUAGAAUCUAGAAUACAGCCCCAAACUUAGCCAAGUUGUUCCAUACAGUCAUAUCUAGAAGGCAGCAUGUAUAUAUAUGCAAGCAUAUUAGUCGAAAAUUACAAUUCUUCCUUUCUUUUUCCUAUUUUAUUAGUAGAGCUGAAACGGGAGCUUAGUUCUUACGAUUUUAAUUUCCACAGAUGUAACUGUUUUCUUAUACUAAAGCUGCGAUCUUAUUUUGAAGGAGCAUACAAGAUUUCCGGAAGAAAAAGUGGAGCAAUUAAGAAAUGAGAAUGCACUUUUAAAGAAAUUACUUUCCCUGGUGAGAGACCUCAUGUUUCUUCUUGGAAAGUGGAAGAAACUGAGAAAAUAUACAAUAUUUUCCUUAUUUUCUAUGUAUUACUUAUUGAUUUUUGGCCUUUCUCAUCUUGCAUGUGGAUCAGGAAGCUGCAGCAGCUGAGAGACUCCUAGAGGUACUGAUUUUAUAUGUCCAAUGAACUUAAUAUAUGGAGACUAAUGAGGAGGUUUAAGCUCAUCAAGAUCAAUGGUGGUGGUGAGACCGAGUGACAAUAUGGGAUGACAUAGUUUCAUUUUUUAAGACAUUAUAGGAUCUCCGUUAUACAUCAAAUAUAUAUAAAGAAAAGCUUUUUGCUUGCCUUCAGUCGACCUGGCUUUCAAAAUAUAAUAAAGAUAAUUAGAUUUGCAGUGAGCUAAAGAUAGAUCACGCUACUGUAAAGUUUUUGAUAAUUUAUAUAUUACUAUUGCCUGCAAAAAAACAUGGUUUCAAUUAUAUCCUAAUAGCUAGAAUCAUGAAUCACUUGGAUCUUGAGAAAAGUAUACAAUGUUAGAAGCUGCAAUAGUUUUAAUCUCUUUUGAGUUCAUCAUUCAGAAAAGAAAGAUAUAUAUAUUUAUAAGCAUAUUUUACAAACAAGAGAGAUAAGUAUGGCUGACUCAGUAAUCAGAUCUCAGCAGUAAUGGAUUGAUAGAGUGCAAAUGCUAAAAACUGCAUAAACAUUUUUUAUCAAUCAAACUUCAUAUUAGCAUGAAUUACUAUAAGCAUGAAUUACUCGAAUAUUUACCUCUUCUCCAACAUUGACAGAAACUCUAGAUGCUGAAAAACCUGACCGAAUCGCUUUCCACAGUUUCGCUUUCUUUCAUGUUUGAUGUGCUAGUAUCUUUAGGUUAUCUUUGAAUGAGAGAAAUGAAAUGAUUUGUUUGGUUGGCUUGAUAUAUAUCUAUAUUUAAUGGUAAUUGGAGAUAUGUUUUGAGUGAUUAGGAAUAUUAUUCCUUCUGGUGCAUACAGGGACCAGUUUCUAUUAGUAGUAGUAGUUUUAAGUUGGUUAAGUAUUUGUGAGGCAAUAGUGUGCCCUGGGAUCUUAUAGAUGCUGAUUGAACCUUCACAGAAAAGGCAAAGAUUGAAGCUCAAAUCUUAGCUGCUGAAGCAACAGCAAAAAUGAAGGCAGAGGUUGAGCUGAAAAAGCAACGGGAAAGAGAAGAGAAGCUGCUGGAAUUACAUUACAUAAGGUUUUUAUCUUUUUCUUGCGUUUUCUUUUUUGUCCUUAUUAUGUUUAUAUAGUGGAGGGUUUUAGAGGCUAGAACACUGUAAUACCAUAUAGUAUAUACAAAAUAUGAAACAGACCAUGCCAUUAUUUAUUGAACAGGUAAAAAACUAAUUAUUUUUUUUCCUUUUUUCUUAAAUUAAAGACCAUGCCAUUAAGGUAAAUGCAUAUUAUUGUUGACUAUUAAUUAUAUUAACUAUUUAUUUUACAUUAAAUUAAUGUUUAAACAGAAAAAAUAAAAUAAGAAACAAUCAAACCAACUGGUUUAACCUAUGGUCCAGUUUCUUUAACAUUGGCAUUUAUGUCCUUUAAUGUCGAACUUCUACAUUUAUGUCUUUCAUUUUGAAUAUUUAGAUGAUAGUAGUGUCAAUCAAUUCUUUGUCCCUUGUUAUGCUAUUAGUUCCUUUGUUUUGCAUUUUCUUUUUUUCUUCUUUUGCCAAAGCCACUUGUCCCAGUUGUCAUGUUUUUUUAUGCAUUUCCUUGGCUAUGGGGUUUUGCUUGGUAGUUAUGCAGCUAUUUAUUGAAAGUUGAAACUCAUGCCUGUUUUAUGAAUGCUUACAUGCAUGGCAAGGUAUUGUUAGCCUUUCUUUCUAUUAUGUUUGUUGCUUUGUAUUAGCAUUCUCUAUGCUACUUGCCCUGCAAAGUUCCAAGUUUCCAUUUUUAUUAAAGAUGGCAAUCGGGUAUUUGGAAAUGUUAAUUAUCUGAUCUUUGGCAAUUUUGCCCAGCAGAAUUAAGCUAAUUUUAUGGUUCUAUCUUUAAUUAAUGCAUGGCUGAGCAAUGCUUCCUUUACAGGUCAGUUUCCUGUUUCUUUGUCAUGGAUGGAUGUAUUUAUUGGAAAAUGGGACAAAGUAACUUAAUACAAAGAAAUUUUACAUUUGAUUUUCUAUGCCUUUUAAAUCACCUCUAAUUUUAAGAUUGAUUGCAAAUGCCUUUUUUCAUUUUUUACAACUUUUUCUGACCAACAAUUUAUUUGUUACAUAUUUGUUUUAUUUUAUUUUAAUCAUUAAUUGUAUGUCACUAAUGCUUAAUUGUUAUAAUUUUUUACAUAAAUGUUUUUUUUACUCGAGGCUAAGAAGUUAGCACACAAUAUCAAAAGGAAGCGGACAAAUGCAAUUCUGGUAUGGACACGUGCGAAGAAGUAAGGGAGAAAGCUAAAGAAGCACUGUCGGCUCAAAUGAAAUUAACAGCAAUGUGGUAAAUAAGAGCUCGUCAGAAAGGGUGGAGAGAAAAGGUCGCCAAAUCUAAUGCAUUUCCUUAUUUCAUUUAAGUAACUUCAUUAUAAUGUCUUAUUUUAUUGACAUUUUUAUAUUUAAUCUAGUUUUUAUUAUUUAUUUUAGUUUUGAUUCUAAAUUUUUAUUUUUAUUUUAAUAUUUAAGAUAACUUGAGUUCUAACUUUUGGAUUUUAAUUGUGUUAUUAAUUUAUUAUUUUAAAUUCUAA